rnacentral:miRNA from 1 species
UGUAGAGACACAUCAUUAUAUC